GCUCCGGGCUCGGGGCUCCUCGCGGUGCCCAACGGCCGGGACACGUGUGCCGAGGGGCUGUCUUUAGUUUGCAGGCGUCUAGAGAACGCUGCGGAGGCAACCGAAAUGUGCACCUUAACUCUUUGCUCUUCGGAAUACUGAGCACCGACAAGUGCGAGUGACAGCUGGGGACAUAACCUGGCUCUGCUCACUGUACUGUCGGUCUCUAGGACAGGUUGGCUUUUGUGGAAGAGGUGGCUGGGCUGUGGGGAAGCUGACAGCCACCCUCUGGAGCAUGGAGCGGAAAGCCAUAUCGAGAAUGCGCCAUAUCUCACCAUUAGGAAGUGAAAGCUGCUGCGAAGAAUCCAUAAACAUGAUGUAGAGUUAAUAUUUAACAUCAGAGUAACUUUUAAAAAGCUGUGACUCCAUAUCCAGAUACUGUUUGCAAAUGUAGCUACGCAGAUAAAAGCUGCUUUGAAGUGACUGUAGAUAAAGGCUUUCCUUUUGUCCUGGAAGGCUUCCUGUGUGAGUUGGGUGCUGGGUGUGGAGCUGAGAGGUGGGACAGCCCAACACCCCCAGUGCCAGACCUGGCACCUGUGUGUGUGGGGGAGGCCCCAUGGGGAGCUCGGCCUCAUUUACAUCUAACCUGAGCACCCCAGCCCCAGGCUGUGGAGACACAUUGGGUGUAUGAAGAGUUGUUGCUUUCUGGAUGCUGUUGUUGAGGAGCUUGAGAUCAGUGGUUACUAGAGAGGAAAGUUCAGUUUUGAGGGUGAAACAGCUGGGAAAAUAAAAAUGUAGAAUGCACUGAUGCAUCUCUGAAACUCCACUGGGAGCAAACAGCUACUCCCAUUAGAACAAAGCAGAUGUGAAAUAACUGAACCACAAAUAAAAUCACGACCUUUGGUCCCUUUAUUGCUGCCAUAGAUUCAGCCACUGAACUGCUCUAGCAACACUGAUCUUUUCAGAUUGCAUGCACACCAGGACUGUGUAAGCAUCAAACAUCCUUUGACUCAAAACUUUGAGAACAAAUGCCUUUCUAGACUCAGUCACCUGGAAGCACUGAUGGGCCUUUAAUUGCCCUGAUCAGCCUCACCUGAGCCCUCCUGUUUAUAAACCCAGUAGCAGCUGUUGAGCUUGGAUUUAGGUUUUUAGUUCUUGUGUGAGUGAUGCUGGUGAUGCUUUUGGUACUGAAGGGCCAUGUUCUGCUGUGUGGGGUGCUAUGAGGCAUGUUCUUCCUGGGCUGCUGCUGGAGAGAAUUCUGUAACCCAUCCACCAGAUCAGUUGAAGAAGAAAAUGCAUUUACUGUGCACUGGAGAAGCUGGAUGAGGAAGAGAUGUGGAAAAAGCAAGAAGACAGCUAAGUCUGUGUGGCAGCAUUGUAUAGAGAGAGCAUCAUGAACUGAGCAACAGAACCUGAGGCUCUGAAGACAGCUUAUUUCAUCUGGUUAGAGUGUACCUUUGGGAUGGCAUCCAGUUCAGGAAGGUGACAGAAAAAGUAUGGAGGUA